GCCGGGCGUGGUGGCUUACGCCUGUAGUCCCAGCUACUCGGGAGGCUGAGGCAGGAGAAUCGCUUGAACCCGGGAGACAGAGGUUGCAGUGAGCUGAGAUUAUGCCACUGCACUCCAGCCUGGGCAACAGAGUGAGACUCAGUCUCAA
rnacentral:SRP_RNA from 1 species